GUGUCAGCCGCCGCGGUAAUACCCGCUCCCCGAGUGGUGGGGACGAUUAUUGGGCUUAAAGCGUCCGUAGCCGGCCUAAUAAGUCUCCCGUUAAAUCCAACGGCCUAACCGUUGGACUGCGGGAGAUACUAUUAGGCUAGGGGGCGGGAGAGGCCGGCGGUAUUCCCGGGGUAGGGGUGAAAUCCUAUAAUCCCGGGAGGACCGCCGGUGGCGAAGGCGGCCGGCCAGAACGCGCCCGACGGUGAGGGACGAAAGCUGGGGGAGCGAUCCGGAUUAGAUACCCGGGUAGUCC
rnacentral:rRNA from 1 species